rnacentral:rRNA from 1 species
UACGGGGGGGGUAAGCGUUGUUCGGAAUACUGGGCGUAAAGGGCUCGUAGGCGGCCAACUAAGUCGGACGUGAAAUCCCUCAGCUUAACUGGGGAACUGCGUCCGAUACUGGAUGGCUUGGAUUUGGGAGAGGGAUGCGGAAUUCCAGGUGUAGCGGUGAAAUGCGUAGAUAUCUGGAGGAACACCGGUGGCGAAGGCGGCAUCCUGGACCAAUAUUGACGCUGAGGAGCGAAAGCCAGGGGAGCAAACGGG